rnacentral:rRNA from 1 species
GAUGAACGCUGGCGGCGUGCCUAAUACAUGCAAGUCGAGCGAACAGACGAGAGUGCUUGCACUCUCUGACGUUAGCGGCGGACGGGUGAGUCACACGUGGGUAACCUACCUAUAAGACUGGGAUAACUUCGGGAAACCGGAUCUAAUACCGGAUAAUAUUUAGCUUCGCAUGAAGCAAUAGUGAAAGACGGUUCUGCUGUCACUUAUAGAUGGACCCGCGGUGUAUUAGCUAGUUGGUGAGGUAACGGCUCACCAAGGCAACGAUACAUAGCCGACCUGAGAGGGUGAUCGGCCACACUGGGACUGAGACACGGCCCAGACUCCUACGGGAGGCAGCAGUAGGGAAUCUUCCGCAAUGGACGAAAGUCUGACGGAGCAAUGCCGCGUGAGUGAAGAAGGUGUUCGGAUCGUAAAACUCUGUUGUAAGGGAAGAACAAGUGCGUUAGUAACUGAACGUACCUUGACGGUACCUUAACAGAAAGCCACGGCUAACUACGUG